rnacentral:rRNA from 1 species
AUUGAACGCUGGCGGCAUGCCUUACACAUGCAAGUCGAAUGGCAGCACGGGGGCAACCCUGGUGGCGAGUGGCGAACGGGUGAGUAAUACAUCGGAACGUGCCCCGUAGCGGGGGACAACCAGUCGAAAGACUGGCUAAUACCGCAUACGCUCCACGGAGGAAAGCAGGGGAUCGCAAGACCUUGCACUAUGGGAGCGGCCGAUGCCCGAUUAGCUAGUUGGGAGGUAAAGGCUCACCAAGGCAACGAUCGGUAGCUGGUCUGAGAGGACGACCAGCCACACUGGGACUGAGACACGGCCCAGACUCCUACGGGAGGCAGCAGUGGGGAAUUUUGGACAAUGGGCGCAAGCCUGAUCCAGCCAUGCCGCGUGCGGGAAGAAGG